rnacentral:lncRNA from 1 species
UGCCUGGGACUUACGAAUUUUGCUUGUACAAGAUUUAUUAUCUUAUUUUAAACUACAGAAUUCCAAAACACAAGGCAAACCCGGGCCCAAAGGUCUUUGUAGAAGUGGUAGCAGCUGAGAAGGGGACGUUCAUAAUGGCACAUGGAAAUUGGAGGCGUGUGGAGAGAAAACAGACUGUGGGGUCUGAAGACCUGGAACUGUGUACCAGUCCUAUAGUUAACAAGCUCAACCUAUCAGCUGAGGAAUAAGUAGGUUUGGACUAGGCCUGGGCUUCCCAAAGAAACAGCCUGACACUGCUGAUCUGGGAUUUGUGAACAUUCCAUAAUAUUGACUCACGUAAUGACAUGUUAAUCCUUUUCUUCAAUUUAUGUUCAGUACUUUUCUUGCAUUAUAUCAUGGAGAAAGCUUCAAUUUUAUGCUGAGCAAACCUCAGGCUCAGACCCUUUGGCAGGCAGCAGUAUCUAGCUGGAAUUUAAAAAUCACUCCCCUCACCUCCCGCGGCAUUUGAUGUUAAGGUCACUACUAAUUAUGGCAAGUGAUCCUGCUAUUCCAUUUACAAAAAUAAUACAAU